UUGCACCACAUGUGUUUUUCUUUGAAACAAACUUGCUUUGGCGGUGGGCCCAGCCUGCCGCCAGAGGUCUAAACUUACAACCAAUUUUUUAUCAACUUGUCACACCAGAUUAUUACUAAUAGUCAAAACUUUCAACAACGGAUCUCUUGGUUCUCGCAUCGAUGAAGAACGCAGCGAAAUGCGAUACGUAAUAUGAAUUGCAGAUAUUCGUGAAUCAUCGAAUCUUUGAACGCACAUUGCGCCCUCUGGUAUUCCGGAGGGCAUGCCUGUUUGAGCGUCGUUUCUCCCUCAAACCGCUGGGUUUGGUGUUGAGCAAUACGACUUGGGUUUGCUUGAAAGACGGUAGUGGUAAGGCGGGAUCGCUUUGACAAUGGCUUAGGUCUAACCAAAAACAUUGCUUGCGGCGGUAACGUCCACCACGUAUAUCUUCAAACUUUGACCUCAAAUCAGGUAGGACUACCCGCUGAACUUAAGCAUAUCAAUAAGCGGAGGGAAAAGAAUUUUU
rnacentral:rRNA from 1 species